CAUGCAAGAGUAUAUUCGUGGAGUGAAUGCCUGGAAUUCCAACCUCAAUGAUUUGAAAAGUCAGGGUGCCCUCAUUCAGGAUGAUGCAGGUAACGGAUGUGGGAGUAAAUGAAAGGCAAGAAGAUAAGUAGGAGUUUGGCUUACAUGCAAGAGAAGACAUUAGUGGAAAAAUUGGCUGUUCCAACACUACACCUAGCUGUGAGUUCUCCUUGCCUAAUAAGUCAAUCUUUAUUUGGUAUCAAUCUUUAUCUGCUGUGGUGGACAUGUAGAAUAGCACAGCUAUUACACAAAAUCAUGUUUGCAGGGAGAAAUUAAUAAGUCAAUCAAGUAUCUGGAACAAAUCUUUGGUAGUUUUCGUUUUCGAUUUCGAUUUCCCAUCAUUUUCCCAUCAUUUUCCCAUCUAAGCCCCUAUGCUAUUAUUUGGCUCAAGUUAAAGUUUCAAGUCGAUACAGGCAUGAACAUAGAGUCAGCUGAGGUGAGCAUGAGUGACUUUAUGCAGGUAAGGAAUCUUCUUUUCUCAUGCAUUUUCUAGUAACCCACAGUAAGCAGGAAGCAAAUAAUUCAAGAUUUUGACCAAGGAUUUCCCAUUUCUUGGUAGGUUCAUGAUUUCAUUCACCUUAAAUUCAAAAUAAAACACAAUAUGUGUGUAACAUGUGUAUUGGAAAGAAAGUGGAAAUUAAGAAUUUGGGUAAAUUUCCUUUUCACAGUUUA